CACAACAAGAAGAGAGGGUGGGCCCCUCUCUCUCCUAUUCGUUCACUCCAAGGGGUAUAUGCCCCUUGGACUUUCUAAAAGGGAGGCAUAUGCCUCCUCUCUCUUUCCAAUUAACCCUCACUACAAAAAGAAAAAAUAAGGGAGAAAAUAAGGAGAUUUGUUUGUCAACUAAUUAGCUUGAUCCAAUCCUUUUGGGCCCUUAAAUAAGUGCCCCUCUAAAUCCAAAUC
rnacentral:lncRNA from 1 species